rnacentral:rRNA from 1 species
GACGAACGCUGGCGGCGUGCUUAACACAUGCAAGUCGAACGGAAAGGCCCUGCUUUUGUGGGGUGCUCGAGUGGCGAACGGGUGAGUAACACGUGAGUAACCUGCCCUUGACUUUGGGAUAACUUCAGGAAACUGGGGCUAAUACCGGAUAGGAGCUCCUGCUGCAUGGUGGGGGGUGGAAAGUUUCGGCGGUUGGGGAUGGACUCGCGGCUUAUCAGCUUGUUGGUGGGGUAGUGGCUUACCAAGGCUUUGACGGGUAGCCGGCCUGAGAGGGUGACCGGCCACAUUGGGACUGCGAUACGGCCCAGACUCCUACGGGCGGCAGCAGUGGGAAAUAUUGCACAAUGGGCGGAAGCCUGAUGCAGCAGCGCCGCGUGCGGGAUGACGGCCUUCGGGUUGUAAACCGCUUUCGCCUGUGACGAAGCGUGAGUGACGGUAAUGGGUAAAGAAGCACCGGCUAACUACGUG